ACACCGUUGGUGAAGUGGUUAUCAUGCUUGCCUUCCAUGCAUUCCAAAUUGACAGCCUCUGAUGCAUAGCAAGCGGCUCGGGUUCGAUUCCCGAACGGUGUA